GAUGAAGAACGUAGCGAAAUGCGAUAAGUAGUGUGAAUUGCAGAAUUCAGUGAAUCAUCGAAUCUUUGAACGCACAUUGCGCCCGCCAGUAUUCUGGCGGGCAUGCCUGUUCGAGCGUCAUUACAACCCUCAGGCCCCCGGGCCUGGCGUUGGGGAUCGGCGGAGCCCCCCGUGGGCACACGCCGUCCCCCAAAUGCAGUGGCGGUCCCGCCGCAGCUUCCAUCGCGUAGUAGCUAACACCUCGCGACUGGAGAGCGGCGCGGCCACGCCGUAAAACACCCAACUCUUCUGAAGUUGACCUCGAAUCAGGUAGGAAUACCCGCUGAACUUAAGAAUAUCAAUAAGCGGAGGA
rnacentral:misc_RNA from 1 species